UACGUAGGGUGCAAGCGUUGUCCGGAAUUAUUGGGCGUAAAGAGCUCGUAGGCGGUUUGUCGCGUCUGCCGUGAAAACCCGAGGCUCAACUUCGGGCUUGCAGUCGAUACGGGCAGGCUAGAGUUCGGUAGGGGAGACUGGAAUUCCUGGUGUAGCGGUGGAAUGCGCAGAUAUCAGGAGGAACACCGGUGGCGAAGGCGGGUCUCUGGGCAGUAACUGACGCUGAGGAGCGAAAGCGUGGGGAGCGAACAGG
rnacentral:rRNA from 1 species